rnacentral:rRNA from 1 species
AUGACCCACGCUCCUUUAGGCUCUUUAAAUUCCGUGGGUGGCGUAGCUAUCGAGAUCAAUGCGGUUAAUUAUCUCUCUCCUAGAAGUUGGUUAUCAACUUCUCAUUUUGUUCUAGGAUUCUUCUUUUUUGUGGGCCAUUUAUGGCAUGCAGGAAGAGCCCGAGCUGCCGUAGCAGGUUUUGAAAAGGGAAUCGAUCGUGAUUUGGAACCUGUUCUUUACAUGAACCCUCUUAACUAA